UACGUAGGUGGCAAGCGUUGUCCGGAUUUACUGGGCGUAAAGAGCGCGCAGGCGGUCGAAUAAGUCGAAUGUAAAAGCCCCCGGCUCAACUGGGGAGGGUCAUUCGAUACUGUUCGACUUGAAGGUAGGAGAGAGAAGCAGAAUUCCCGGUGUAGUGGUGAAAUGCGUAGAUAUCGGGAGGAAUACCGGUGGCGAAGGCGGCAUCCUGGACCGGAAUUGACACUGAGGAGCGAAAGCCAGGGGAGCAAACGGG
rnacentral:rRNA from 1 species